rnacentral:rRNA from 1 species
GACGAACGCUGGCGGCGUGCCUAAUACAUGCAAGUAGAACGCUGACGUGAGGAGCUUGCUCUUCUUGGAUGAGUUGCGAACGGGUGAGUAACGCGUAGGUAACCUGCCUGGUAGCGGGGGAUAACUAUUUGAAACGAUAGCUAAUACCGCAUAAAAUUGAUUAUUGCAUGAUAAUUAAUUGAAAGAUGCAACUGCAUCACUACCAGAUGGACCUGCGUUGUAUUAGCUAGUUGGUGAGGUAACGGCUCACCAAGGCGACGAUACAUAGCCGACCUGAGAGGGUGAACGGCCACACUGGGACUGAGACACGGGCCAGACUCCUACGGGGGGCAGCAGUAGGGAAUCUUCGGCAAAGGGGGGAACCCUGGCCGAGCAACGCCGGGUGAGUGAAGGAGGUUUUCGGAUCGUAAAGCUCUGUUGUAAGAGAAGGAAGGGUGUGAGAGUGGAAAGUUCACGCUGUGACGGUAUCUUAACAGAAAGGAACGGCUAACUACGUG